UACUCAGGCCGGUAUAAUGCCAUGUUUGCCAUAGACAAAAAAACAAAACAAUGUUUAAAUCCAACAUUUCUAAACACCGACGUGUUGCUCUUGGGUUGUUAGUGGCCAUCGCAGUGUAAGGAAAUAUUUAAACUUGUUGUGCAAACAUUUUAUCGUUCAGGUAAGACAGUAGACAUCUCUAGGAUCACGAACACUGGAAAACAAGAGGCCCGAAAAGUGGAAACAAAUUACGUUUCCUCCCUUAGGAUUUGCGUAGGGAAUGCUAUGUAACGUUAAAAUCCCGGAGACAUACGGAGUGCUGGGGUCACCAAUGGGUCUACCUAAUUAAUUCGGACACCAUUAUUUUUAUCACAGCAAAUAAAACACGUUUCUGUUCAUAUAAGACAAGCUAGAUAGCUAUCAGUUAUAGUUACACACAAAUAUCUAACAAGCAACUUGCAGAGCUGCGCUGCUAGCUUAAAGCUGAUCUUACCCAGCAAACCUCAGUCAUUUGAUGCACCAGCUGCUGAAAUCUUUGUUUUUGAGACUCGAUUUCGAUGAAGUGCUGAAGCUGAGGGUCUGCGGUCGCUCCCUGGCCGUCCAUAGUUCGCUAAAAAGAGGUCCUAAAAGUAAUAUAUUCCUAAUUAUGAAUUCUUUAUGGCUCUAUUGCUGACCUUCACGUGUAUGUAUGGACGACGGGAAAAAGGAAGUACUUCAACCAAUCACAGAGCACGUUCUUCUGAAGGCGCUCGUCAUCAUACAAACGUCUCUGUGGAUGUACUGCUUCGACUCAAGAUAGGCCAUGCCCUCAGAGACGUCUUUACACAUCUCUAGGAGCUGGACAGCUGUUGGGUGCUGCUUCAAGCCUUCCUUCAGUCAUCUUCAGACAUGGAGCCCUCUUUGAUCAUCUUAAUGGCAACGUCAUGCUGGCCCUGCCACUUUCCAUACUUCACCACUCCAAACUGACCAGUGCCAAGCUCCUUGAUGAAGGUAAAACUGGCCCUGUGGGGACGUGCAGAUGUUAUAAUGUCUGCAGCUCCCACCAGUUUCCCUGUGGAGAAAAUAGGAUCAGUAACAGGUUUUCAUCGACACAGUUUGCAUCAGACAUCUCCAGGAUGGUGUACUCUUCAUCCUUCCUCAGCUCCAGGUCGUGGGGUGUCAUGGGUGUGUAAUUAUACUCUGCUAUGACAGUCAUGCCUACAGAGCGGGUUUUAGGCCAAAGGGAAUCUUGUUCUCACCGUUCUUACUAUCCAGCACCUUGCAACCCAUGGCUUGUUUAACUUCCUGUUGGCAGCACAGCCACACCCCAUCCAUCCAGGAGCAAGGAUGGUACUUCUGCAUGAGAUCCUUGUUGAAGCGCACCACUAUGCACAACUUCUUUAUCCACUGAGCACGGACAUCGUCUGUCUUUGCAAAGAUGUACAGCGGCCCCUCAUCAUAAACGAUCUGUGGCACAAAAAAACACAGAAAUCAGCUGAUUUGUCAAGUUUGUCUAUUACAGCAUUUCCAUGCAUUGGGUGAUUUGCUAUUUCUUAAGUUACUAGCUGAGUAAAUGUGAUACCAGAAUAUAUUGUGAUUAGUGUGACGGAAGCAAAAAAUUAUUACAGUUCUAGUGUAUGAUCAUAUUCUCUGCAAUUCAAU